rnacentral:rRNA from 1 species
GGACCAGACUCCUACGGGAGGCAGCAGUGAGGAAUAUUGGUCAAUGGCCGAGAGGCUGAACCAGCCAAGUCGCGUGAGGGAAGACGGUCCUACGGGUUGUAAACCUCUUUUGUCGGGGAGCAAAGCGAGUCACGUGUGACUCAUUGAGAGUACCCGAAGAAAAAGCAUCGGCUAACUCCGUGCCAGCAGCCGCGGUAAUACGGAGGAUGCGAGCGUUAUCCGGAUUUUUUGGGUUUAAAGGGUGCGAAGGGCGGUGUGUGAGGUCGGCGGACAACCCCGGGGCCCCACCCCCGGCCUGCCGUUGAAACUGGCAGUCUCGAGUUGGAGAGAAGUAUGCGGAAUGCGCGGUGUAGCGGUGAAAUGCAUAGAUAUCGCGCAGAACUCCGAUUGCGAAGGCAGCAUACCGGCGCGCAACUGACGCUCAUGCACGAAAGCGUGGGUAUCGAACAGGAGUAGAUACCCGCGUA